UACGUAGGGGGCAAGCGUUGUCCGGAUUUAUUGGGCGUAAAGAGCUCGUAGGCGGCUCAGCAAGUCGGUCGUGAAAACCCGGGGCUCAACCCCGGGAGGCCGGUCGAUACUGCUGUGGCUAGGGUCCGGUAGAGGAGAGUGGAAUUCCCGGUGUAGCGGUGGAAUGCGCAGAUAUCGGGAGGAACACCAGUGGCGAAGGCGGCUCACUGGCCCGGUACUGACGCUGAGGUGCGAAAGCGUGGGGAGCAAACAGG
rnacentral:rRNA from 1 species